GGGUUGUGAGGUUAAGCGACUAAGCGUACACGGUGGAUGCCCUGGCAGUCAGAGGCGAUGAAGGACGUGCUAAUCUGCGAAAAGCGCCGGCGAGGUGAUAUGAACCCUUGACCCGGCGAUGUCCGAAUGGGGAAACCCAGUGUGUUCCGACACACUAUCGUUAACUGAAUACAUAGGUUAACGAGGCGAACCGGGGGAACUGAAACAUCUAAGUACCCCGAGGAAAAGAAAUCAACCGAGAUUCCCCCAGUAGCGGCGAGCGAACGGGGAGCAGCCCGGAGUCUGAAUCAGCUUGUGUGUUAGUGGAACGGUCUGGAAAGUCCGACGGUACAGGGUGAUAGUCCCGUACACGAAAACACACUUGCUGUGAACUCGAAGAGUAGGGCGGGACACGUGGUAUCCUGUCUGAAUAUGGGGGGACCAUCCUCCAAGGCUAAAUACUCCUGACUGACCGAUAGUGAACCAGUACCGUGAGGGAAAGGCGAAAAGAACCCCGGCGAGGGGAGUGAAAAAGAACCUGAAACCGUGUACGUACAAGCAGUGGGAGCACCUUCGGGUGUGACUGCGUACCUUUUGUAUAAUGGGUCAGCGACUUAUAUUCUGUAGCAAGGUUAACCGUAUAGGGGAGCCGAAGGGAAACCGAGUCUUAACUGGGCGUUAAGUUGCAGGGUAUAGACCCGAAACCCGGUGAUCUAGCCAUGGGCAGGUUGAAGGUUGGGUAACACUAACUGGAGGACCGAACCGACUAAUGUUGAAAAAUUAGCGGAUGACCUGUGGCUGGGGGUGAAAGGCCAAUCAAACCGGGAGAUAGCUGGUUCUCCCCGAAAGCUAUUUAGGUAGCGCCUCGUGAACUCAUCUUCGGGGGUAGAGCACUGUUUCGGCUAGGGGGCCAUCCCGGCUUACCAACCCGAUGCAAACUACGAAUACCGAAGAAUGUUAUCACGGGAGACACACGGCGGGUGCUAACGUCCGUCGUGAAGAGGGAAACAACCCAGACCGCCAGCUAAGGUCCCAAAGUCAUGGUUAAGUGGGAAACGAUGUGGGAAGGCACAGACAGCCAGGAUGUUGGCUUAGAAGCAGCCAUCAUUUAAAGAAAGCGUAAUAGCUCACUGGUCGAGUCGGCCUGCGCGGAAGAUGUAACGGGGCUAAACCAUGCACCGAAGCUGCGGCAGCGACACUUAUGUGUUGUUGGGUAGGGGAGCGUUCUGUAAGCCGUUGAAGGUGUGCUGUGAGGCAUGCUGGAGGUAUCAGAAGUGCGAAUGCUGACAUAAGUAACGAUAAAGCGGGUGAAAAGCCCGCUCGCCGGAAGACCAAGGGUUCCUGUCCAACGUUAAUCGGGGCAGGGUGAGUCGACCCCUAAGGCGAGGCCGAAAGGCGUAGUCGAUGGGAAACAGGUUAAUAUUCCUGUACUUGGUGUUACUGCGAAGGGGGGACGGAGAAGGCUAUGUCAGCCGGGCGACGGUUGUCCCGGUUUAAGCAUGUAGGCGGAGGUUCCAGGUAAAUCCGGUACCUUGUUAACGCUGAGGUGUGAUGACGAGGCACUACGGUGCUGAAGUGAUAAAUGCCCUGCUUCCAGGAAAAGCCUCUAAGCAUCAGGUAACACGAAAUCGUACCCCAAACCGACACAGGUGGUCAGGUAGAGAAUACCAAGGCGCUUGAGAGAACUCGGGUGAAGGAACUAGGCAAAAUGGUGCCGUAACUUCGGGAGAAGGCACGCUGAUAUGUAGGUGAAGUCCCUGCGGACGGAGCUGAAAUCAGUCGAAGAUACCAGCUGGCUGCAACUGUUUAUUAAAAACACAGCACUGUGCAAACACGAAAGUGGACGUAUACGGUGUGACGCCUGCCCGGUGCCGGAAGGUUAAUUGAUGGGGUUAGCGGCAACGCGAAGCUCUUGAUCGAAGCCCCGGUAAACGGCGGCCGUAACUAUAACGGUCCUAAGGUAGCGAAAUUCCUUGUCGGGUAAGUUCCGACCUGCACGAAUGGCGUAAUGAUGGCCAGGCUGUCUCCACCCGAGACUCAGUGAAAUUGAACUCGCUGUGAAGAUGCAGUGUACCCGCGGCAAGACGGAAAGACCCCGUGAACCUUUACUAUAGCUUGACACUGAACACUGGUCCUUGAUGUGUAGGAUAGGUGGGAGGCUUUGAAGCGUGGACGCCAGUCUGCGUGGAGCCACCCUUGAAAUACCACCCUUUAAUGGCUGGUGUUCUAACGUAGACCCGUGAUCCGGGUUGCGGACAGUGUCUGGUGGGUAGUUUGACUGGGGCGGUCUCCUCCCAAAGAGUAACGGAGGAGCACGAAGGUUGGCUAAUCCUGGUCGGACAUCAGGAGGUUAGUGCAAUGGCAUAAGCCAGCUUGACUGCGAGCGUGACGGCGCGAGCAGGUGCGAAAGCAGGUCAUAGUGAUCCGGUGGUUCUGAAUGGAAGGGCCAUCGCUCAACGGAUAAAAGGUACUCCGGGGAUAACAGGCUGAUACCGCCCAAGAGUUCAUAUCGACGGCGGUGUUUGGCACCUCGAUGUCGGCUCAUCACAUCCUGGGGCUGAAGUAGGUCCCAAGGGUAUGGCUGUUCGCCAUUUAAAGUGGUACGCGAGCUGGGUUUAGAACGUCGUGAGACAGUUCGGUCCCUAUCUGCCGUGGGCGCUGGAGAAUUGAGGGGGGCUGCUCCUAGUACGAGAGGACCGGAGUGGACGCAUCACUGGUGUUCGGGUUGUCAUGCCAAUGGCACUGCCCGGUAGCUAAAUGCGGAAGAGAUAAGUGCUGAAAGCAUCUAAGCACGAAACUUGCCCCGAGAUGAGUUCUCCCUGAGAC
rnacentral:rRNA from 1 species